CUCAUACUCAUAAUGUACUCAUACUCAUUUACUCAUACUUUACCCCUGGAUCACUCACACUUGGCUCCAGGUUCUCCCACAAUUUACAUUGGGUUUACCCAUACUUUACUCAGGGUUCACUCACACUCAACUGCAAGUGUACUCACACUCCAGGUUCAUUCAUACUCCACUCUGGCUGCACUCACACUUUACUCCGUGUCUGCCCACACUUUACUCUGUGUGAACCCACACCUCACUCAGGGUUUUAUUUGCAAUUUACUCCUGGUGUACUCACACUUUAUUCCUGGUUUAUUCAUAUAUUUUUUUUUUUUUUUCGGGUUUACUCACACAUUACUCUGGGCUUACUCUAACUUUUCUCCAGGUUUUACUCACUCUUUUCUCUGGGUUUACUCACGUUUUGCUCCAGGUUUACUCACUCUUCAAGCUUUCUCACACUUUACUCUGGAUUUACUCACACUUUAUCAACGUUUAUUUCACACAUUACUUCAGGUCUACUCUUGAUUUACUCAAGGUUUACUCACACUUUUGUCUGAGUUUACAUGCAAUUUUGACAAGGUUUUGUCACACUUAACUCCGUGUCUUCUUACAUUUUAUUCAGAGUCAGCCAACACUUUGCUCCCAGUUUACACACACUUUACUACACAUUUACUCAUUCUCUUCUCCGGGUGUACUCACACCUUUCUCUGGGUAUUACUCACACUUUAAUCCCAGUUUACUCACACUUUUUUCCUGUGUUUUACUCAUACUCUUCUAAGGGUGUACUCCCACCAUACUCUGUGUUUUCCUAACACUUUACUUCGGGUCUACUCACACUUUAGUCUGAGUUUACUCACACUUUUCUCCGGGUUUGUUCCCACUUUACUCCAGGUUUUCCUCACUCUUCUUUCCAGGUUUUCUCACACGGUGUUUUGGGUUUUGCUCACACUUUACUCCAAGUUUACUCACACUAUUCUCCAGCUUUUACUCACACUUUACUCCAGGUUUACUUCAGUAAAUAAAUAAGUUAAAGAUUAUGAGCUUUCAUGGGUUGCU
ensembl:lncRNA